UACGUAGGGUGCAGGCGUUAUCCGGAUUCACUGGGUUUAAAGGGUGCGUAGGUGGGCAGGUAAGUCAGUGGUGAAAUCUCUAAGCUUAACUUAGAAACUGCCGUUGAUACUAUCUGUCUUGAAUGUAGUGGAGGUGAGCGGAAUAUGUCAUGUAGCGGUGAAAUGCUUAGAUAUGACAUAGAACACCCAUUGCGAAGGCAGCUCGCUACACUAUUAUUGACACUGAGGCACGAAAGCGUGGGGAUCAAACAGG
rnacentral:rRNA from 1 species